GUGACUACAACCGUACGUAAAAGUUUAAAAGACUCGAAGCAAAGAAAUGAAGUUACAUUUUGUUUACCUGUUCUUCAUACUACGAUACUCGUACUUGGCAUUUUUGUCUUGAAAGCAGAGGCAAACCCUAAACCUUUCUUUGGACUCGGAGGACGUCGUAGCACACUUUCAAUAUGGCAUUUAAUUCCGGAUCUAGAUUGGGGAUGGGAGGACAAAAAAUAAUUUCCAAAAUUAUUAUUUUGUGUCAUUAAAUGGAAUAUUUAAUUAUCGUUAAGCCAAUAAAUAGAGUUGGUUGCAAAGUUUAAAAGCCUUAAAAUGCCAGCUGAAAAAUUAUUAAAAAGUUUUGAAUAAAGAGAGUUCUCAUAUGCAAUUGA